rnacentral:rRNA from 1 species
AAAUUGAAGAGUUUGAUCAUGGCUCAGAUUGAACGCUGGCGGCAGGCCUAACACAUGCAAGUCGAGCGGUAGCACAGAGAGCUUGCUCUCGGGUGACGAGCGGCGGACGGGUGAGUAAUGUCUGGGAAACUGCCUGAUGGAGGGGGAUAACUACUGGAAACGGUAGCUAAUACCGCAUAAUGUCGCAAGACCAAAGUGGGGGACCUUCGGGCCUCAUGCCAUCAGAUGUGCCCAGAUGGGAUUAGCUAGUAGGUGGGGUAACGGCUCACCUAGGCGACGAUCCCUAGCUGGUCUGAGAGGAUGACCAGCCACACUGGAACUGAGACACGGUCCAGACUCCUACGGGAGGCAGCAGUGGGGAAUAUUGCACAAUGGGCGCAAGCCUGAUGCAGCCAUGCCGCGUGUGUGAAGAAGGCCUUCGGGUUGUAAAGCACUUUCAGCGGGGAGGAAGGCGAUAAGGUUAAUAACCUCAUCGAUUGACGUUACCCGCAGAAGAAGCACCGGCUAACUCCGUGCCAGCAGCCGCGGUAAUACGGAGGGUGCAAGCGUUAAUCGGAAUUACUGGGCGUAAAGCGCACGCAGGCGGUCUGUCAAGUCGGAUGUGAAAUCCCCGGGCUCAACCUGGGAACUGCAUUCGAAACUGGCAGGCUAGAGUCUUGUAGAGGGGGGUAGAAUUCCAGGUGUAGCGGUGAAAUGCGUAGAGAUCUGGAGGAAUACCGGUGGCGAAGGCGGCCCCCUGGACAAAGACUGACGCUCAGGUGCGAAAGCGUGGGGGGCAAACAGGAUUAGAUACCCUGGUAGUCCACGCCGUAAACGAUGUCGAUUUGGAGGUUGUGCCCUUGAGGCGUGGCUUCCGGAGCUAACGCGUUAAAUCGACCGCCUGGGGAGUACGGCCGCAAGGUUAAAACUCAAAUGAAUUGACGGGGGCCCGCACAAGCGGUGGAGCAUGUGGUUUAAUUCGAUGCAACGCGAAGAACCUUACCUGGUCUUGACAUCCACAGAACUUUCCAGAGAUGGAUUGGUGCCUUCGGGAGCUGUGAGACAGGUGCUGCAUGGCUGUCGUCAGCUCGUGUUGUGAAAUGUUGGGUUAAGUCCCGCAACGAGCGCAACCCUUAUCCUUUGUUGCCAGCGGUUCGGCCGGGAACUCAAAGGAGACUGCCAGUGAUAAACUGGAGGAAGGUGGGGAUGACGUCAAGUCAUCAUGGCCCUUACGACCAGGGCUACACACGUGCUACAAUGGCAUAUACAAAGAGAAGCGACCUCGCGAGAGCAAGCGGACCUCAUAAAGUAUGUCGUAGUCCGGAUUGGAGUCUGCAACUCGACUCCAUGAAGUCGGAAUCGCUAGUAAUCGUAGAUCAGAAUGCUACGGUGAAUACGUUCCCGGGCCUUGUACACACCGCCCGUCACACCAUGGGAGUGGGUUGCAAAAGAAGUAGGUAGCUUAACCUUCGGGAGGGCGCUUACCACUUUGUGAUUCAUGACUGGGGUGAAGUCGUAACAAGGUAACCGUAGGGGAACCUGCGGUUGGAUCACCUCCUUA